AUUCUACUCCCUCCGUUCCGAAUUACUUGUCGUAGGUAUGGAUGUAUCUAGAUGUAUUUUAGUUCUAAAUACAUCCAUUUCUGCGACGAGUAAUUUGAAACGGAGGGAGUAGGAA
rnacentral:pre_miRNA from 1 species